rnacentral:tRNA from 1 species
GCAGGCUUCUUCUAGUCAGCAAGAUGCCCGGCAACCGUCGGGGAACGGCGGUGCAAUUCCGUCCAGCCUGCUCCA